UUGGCCGACAGAAUUUCUGUACGAUACGGCUGGGUGGCGUGUACCCAGGUUGGGCGCAGUACGGCCGCUCUCGCGUCCUACGUCUAGCACGAGAUCCCUUUUCCGAUUUUGGGGCAAAGACAACGCUGAGCCGGAGGCAGUGGUGCGCGCCCGUGGUCGGUCAGGCUCUGCUCAUGGAGAUUUCAGCUGCGGCGGCGCCGGCGCUCGAAUCCGGAUCGGCGUCGGCGGCCAACGAUCCGGCAGCGCGUUCGGGGGCUUCCGUUUCGGCCGGCGGCGGCCCCGGGGCGGCAGGGUCAGUAGUAAGCUCGCCGGAUUCGGUCGUGCGCCCGUUCACUCCUGAUAGUCGCCCGUUGGAUGAGGGGGUGGCACAGCCGGCGGCGCAGAGGCCUUUGUCUGAUGUCGAGUUCUCCGGGCCCAGUGCUGCCGUUUGUGAAGAGGCCUCGCGACGGACCAGUGGAGUGACGUUCAGUUCAUUGUACUAUGGUGCAAAAUUUUCUUGAAUCAGUCGAGAUUUUUAUGUAGUCUGCUUGUUAAGACUGUUGACUUGUAAUUCUAAUAAACGUUGUGCCUGUCUUUGGGGGACUGGACGUUGCUUA